GAUGAACGCUGGCGGCGUGCUUAACACAUGCAAGUCGAACGGAAAGGCCCAACCUUGCUUGGGUCCUCGAGUGGCGAACGGGUGAGUAACACGUGGGUGAUCUGCCCUGCACUUCGGGAUAACCCUGGGAAACUGGGUCUAAUACCGGAUAGGACGUUCGUUUGCAUGCCAUUGUGGAAAGUUUUUUCGGUGUGGGAUGUGCUCGCGGCGUUUCUGCUGUUUUGUGGGGUGUUGGCGUACCAAAGCGUCGACGCGUAGACGGGGUGUGAGAGUGUACGGGGACAUUGGGAGAGAGAUACGGGGCAGAGACUUAUAGGAGGGAGCAGAGGGGAAUAUAGCACAAAAGGGGCGGGCGUGAGACAGAGAAGCGGCGUGGGGGAGAAGGGCGUUCGGGUGGUAAACACCGUUUGCGAGGGAGGAGGAGUGUUAGUGACGGUAACUGGAGAAGAAGCACCGGCUAACUACGUG
rnacentral:rRNA from 1 species